GCCGCCUGUGCCACCUAAUAGAUAAACGCUUCGAUCUAUGCCACGUGGAGCCGGAAUGUUAGUUCUGCCGCUUUUUAUUGUGGCGGGUUGAAUUUGAUAAAAAGCUCAAAAGUGACCGAAGAGUUUAGACACGUGACAUGAUGUGGAUGGUUCAUAAUCAAAAUGAUUAGACGCAUGAAUUUACGAGCAUCGAUAAUGAUUGCCCAAGUAGAACCUUUAUAUGCUUUGCCCACACAGGUAGUAUAUGAAUACCCACCGAGAUUAGUUAGGUCGGCAGGAUUGGGUUUAUAUUCGUGUAACGACCACAUCUAUUGCACAUGCCACGUUUUAUAUGAAAUCAUCAAAACGCUUAUGCGUAUGGAUUUUGCCUCUCUGGCUCGAUCUAACG